rnacentral:lncRNA from 1 species
GCCCAACCACCAGCCCCGUCCCUCCUAUUGCAAAUGAAGUGUUCCUAGUCACCUUUGGAGAGGUUUCUAUCAGCAUUUUAGAUAGAAUUUCUCUUUAAAGCUCUAUGUCCUGGUUUUGUUAGUAAUGCAUGAAAAUGUCAAGGAUUCAUGGAAUUUUUAUCCUUGGUUACUUUUUGGAAUGUAAUUGUAUCCGUUACCUUUGAAUCCAUUGGCUCAGGUUCUCUAAGUAAAUCAUCCACUGCAAACUCCUUGAGGUAGGGACUGGUUUUUUUUUUUUCUCUCAUCAGUAACCUCAUCACUUAGCACAGAGCCUAGUAUACAGUAGGUAUACCCUGCUUAGUCUUUAGAAUUCUAGCAACCAGGAAUGCAUACACCCCCGCUUAAGGAUUAACUGUGAGAAGCAUGGCCUAUGACUGGCAUUUGCUAGCAAGUGACAAAUCAGGAACAACUGACUGACCCCCUGGGCUGUCCAAAGCCAAGAUUAAGGCACCAUUAGUACAUGUGAGACACAGGAAGUGACAUAAAGAAAGGCCUUUAUAUUUUGUGUCACUUCCUGUGAGAGGGGCUUUUGUGGACUUUGGUGGUGGAACGUGGCUUGAUGGAGCUCUAGCAUGGGACCUCCAUCUUCUUCCCUGAACAACCAUGUGGCUAUCCAGAUUUAAAUACAGCAGUAAGCCGGAGGAGCAACAUGACAAUGGUGGUCCACACUGCUUAUAUGAUUUAGGUUUCAAAGCACUGAUUUCUGAUAUUGGCUCAGGAUUCGUGGAGUUUAUACCCACGGAGUAAACUAUGUGGAAUGUAAUACCAACCUGGAAGGACUUCUAUUAUGGAUGCCUUGAUGGACAUGUGAACCAUUCGUAUAAGGACCCACCCAACAAAGCUGGCACAAUCCCGGCACCAUGAAGUUGGCUGGGAGAGAACUGGGUUCCUUGUUGAUCUGACUCUGUCUGGUGUAUCCUGAUUAUAACCUGAUCAUUCACCUCGUGGAGCUACUCCACGCGAACACCAACAUAUAGCCCACAUCUUGGUCUCUUGCAGUGGACCAUUAAUAAAUGAAUAUUGAGAAAAUGG